GAUGCUGCCAGGGUCCCUGAAGAGGGAAGACACGCGGAAACAGGCUUCCACCCAGACACGACACCAUGCAUCUCCUCGGCCCCUGGCUCCUGCUCCUGGCACCCUGAAACCCUCUACGCCUGGGAGGGGGCCUGCGUCUGGAUCCCCUGCACCUACAGAGCCCUAGAUGGUGCCCUGGAAAGCUUCAUCCUGUUCCACAAUCCUGAGUAUAACAAGAACACCUCGAAGUUUGACGGGACCAGACUCUAUGAAAGCACAAAGGAUGGGGAGGUUCCUUCUGAGCAGAAAAGGGUGCAAUUCCUGGGAGACAAGAGUAAGAACUGCACACUGAGUAUCCACCCGGUGCACGUCAAUGACAGUGGUCAGCUGGGGCUGAGAAUGGAGUCCAAGACUGAGAAAUGGAUGGAACGAAUACACCUCAAUGUCUCUGAUCCUCCCAAGAAGGUGAUCACGGUGAUUCAAAACCCCACGCCAAUUCGAGAAGGAGACACGGUGACCCUUUCCUGUAACUACAAUUCCAGUAACCCCCGUGUUACCCGGUAUGAAUGGAAACCCCGCAGCACCUGGGAGGAGCCAUCG
rnacentral:sRNA from 1 species